rnacentral:rRNA from 1 species
CCUACGGGGGGCAGCAGUGAGGAAUAUUGGUCAAUGGACGAGAGUCUGAACCAGCCAAGUAGCGUGAAGGAUGACUGCCCUAUGGGUUGUAAACUUCUUUUAUAUGGGAAUAAAAUGUUCCACGUGUGGGAUUUUGUAUGUACCAUAUGAAUAAGGAUCGGCUAACUCCGUGCCAGCAGCCGCGGUAAUACGGAGGAUCCGAGCGUUAUCCGGAUUUAUUGGGUUUAAAGGGAGCGUAGGUGGAUUGUUAAGUCAGUUGUGAAAGUUUGCGGCUCAACCGUAAAAUUGCAGUUGAAACUGGCAGUCUUGAGUACAGUAGAGGUAGGCGGAAUGCGUGGUGUAGCGGUGAAAUGCUUAGAUAUCACGAAGAACUCCGAUUGCGAAGGCAGUUCACUGGACUGCAACUGACACUGAGGCUCGAAAGUGUGGGUAUCAAACAGGAUUAGAUACCCUUGUAGUC